rnacentral:lncRNA from 1 species
AGGAAGCAAAUUCAACUGCUUCCAACGAUGAAGGCAUUCUAUCAUGCUCUUUUAGCAAAGUCACUGUCAUCAUCAUCCCUGCCUUCCAAAGGUUCAGCUUGAUCAUAACCUGCACCUGCAUCAUCAAAGCUGCUACCUCCCUGGCCAAAAAAUUUAUCGUCACCACCAUCUUUAUUGCUGCUACCAAAGUUACCACUGCCAGCACCAUUUUCACUAGUGUUUCCACCUGCAACACCACCUCCAUAAGCUCCAAAACUCCAACCACCUCCAGAAGCUCCAGUGCUACUACUGUCAAACGUGUUUCCACCAGAAGUAACAUCUGCAUUGGCAUAGUCACUGCCGCCGCUAGUGUUACCAGCUCCAUAAUUCCCACCGGAACUACCGUAAUUACUGCUAUAGCCUCCACCACCAGCUCCAUAGCCUCCGGCACCUGCACCGUAGCCCCCGCCACCUGCACCGUAGCCCCCGCCUGCACCAUAGCCGCCACCACCACUUGCACCGUAGCCGCCGCCACUGAAGCCACCACCUCCACCAAAGCCACCACGAGCUCUAUCGUUCGCAUAAU